GAUGAACGCUGGCGGCGUGCCUAAUACAUGCAAGUCGAGCGAACAGAUGAGGAGCUUGCUCCUCUGACGUUAGCGGCGGACGGGUGAGUAACACGUGGAUAACCUACCUAUAAGACUGGGAUAACUUCGGGAAACCGGAGCUAAUACCGGAUAAUAUAUUGAACCGCAUGGUUCAAUAGUGAAAGACGGUUUUGCUGUCACUUAUAGAUGGAUCCGCGCCGCAUUAUCUAGUUGGUAAGGUAACGGCUUACCAAGGCAACGCUGCGUAGCCGACCUGAGAGGUGAGGCGGCAAACCUGGACCUGAGCAACGGUCCAAACCCCAGUGUGGGCCGCAGUUGGGGAUUUUUCCGCAAUGGGCGAAGGCUGGACGGGCGAACGCCGGUUGGGUGAUGAAGGCCUCCGGAUCGAAAAACUUUGUUAUUGGGAAAGACCAAAUGUGUAAGUAACAAUGCGCGUCUGGACGUUACUUAUACGGAAACCCCCGGUGACCUCCGG
rnacentral:rRNA from 1 species